rnacentral:rRNA from 1 species
UACGUAGGGGCCGAGCGUUGUCCGGAGUUAUUGGGCGUAAAGAGCGCGCAGGCGGUCGUGCAAGUCGCGUGUGAAAGCCCCCGGCUCAACUGGGGAGGGUCACGCGAUACUGCUCGACUCGAAGGCAGGAGAGGGAAGUGGAAUUCCCGGUGUAGUGGUGAAAUGCGUAGAUAUCGGGAGGAACACCAGUGGCGAAGGCGACUUCCUGGCCUGUUCUUGACGCUGAGGCGCGAAAGCUAGGGUAGCAAACGGG